rnacentral:lncRNA from 1 species
AUCCACUAUGAAGUGGAAGCUCUCCCUCUCUACUGCUAGGAUCAGGGAGGAAUACCUGGGAUGAAGCCUCAUGGUAUACCUCUUUGCUUUCUUCUGAUCUGUAUCAUAAGCCUGACCCGUAUACUGCAACAACUCCAAGAACUUAUCAGUGUACUCAUCGACACUCAUAUCCUCAGACUGCCUCAGCUGCUCAAACUCUAUCAUCUU